GAGGGUAUAGCUCAGUGGUAGAGUGCGUGCUUAGCAUGCACAAGGUCCUGGGUUCAAUCCCCAGUACCUCCA
rfam:Camelus ferus unplaced genomic scaffold scaffold351, whole genome shotgun sequence.